GAGCAAAAAUUGAACAAGAAAAGAAAGAAAGAGACUAAUAUUCGUCUCUUCGUUUUCCUUUCCCCACUCCUUCUUCCCUUUCUCUUUACUUAAUUUAUUUGGGGCAUAUUUUCUCCCCUUCUCCCUUCCCCUUUCUUCCUCUCUUCCUCUCUUUUUUUUUUACCAAUUUAAAUAAAACUAGGGAUUCUGAAAUGAAGAGUUCCUCUUUAUAGAAGG
rnacentral:ribozyme from 13 species